rnacentral:rRNA from 1 species
UACAGAGAGAGCAAGCGUUACUCAUCCUAACUGGGCAUAAAAGGGUGCGUAGACUGAUGUUUGGAAAGACUAUAACAAUAAUUACUGCGUUUGGUAGGAGUGUAUAGUACCCAUCAUCUAACGAGACGUGAGGAGGUUAUUAGUAUGUGACAGGGUAUUGGUUUGAGAAACUAUCGAUCUGUCAAGGACUACCUACCGCGAAGGCAUAUGACCAAUGCGAUCCUGACG